GGGUUGUGAGGUUAAGCGACUAAGCGUACACGGUGGAUGCCCUGGCAGUCAGAGGCGAUGAAGGGCGUGCUAAUCUGCGAUAAGCGCCGGUAAGGUGAUAUGAACCGUUAUAACCGGCGAUACCCGAAUGGGGAAACCCAGUGUGAUUCGUCACACUAUCAUUAACUGAAUCCAUAGGUUAAUGAGGCGAACCGGGGGAACUGAAACAUCUAAGUACCCCGAGGAAAAGAAAUCAACCGAGAUUCCCCCAGUAGCGGCGAGCGAACGGGGAGGAGCCCAGAGCCUGAAUCAGCAUGUGUGUUAGUGGAAGCGUCUGGAAAGGCGCGCGAUACAGGGUGACAGCCCCGUACACAAAAGCGCAUGUGCUGUGAGCUCGAUGAGUAGGGCGGGACACGUGGUAUCCUGUCUGAAUAUGGGGGGACCAUCCUCCAAGGCUAAAUACUCCUGACUGACCGAUAGUGAACCAGUACCGUGAGGGAAAGGCGAAAAGAACCCCGGCGAGGGGAGUGAAAAAGAACCUGAAACCGUGUACGUACAAGCAGUGGGAGCACCCUUUGGGUGUGACUGCGUACCUUUUGUAUAAUGGGUCAGCGACUUAUAUUCUGUAGCAAGGUUAACCGAAUAGGGGAGCCGGAGGGAAACCGAGUCUUAACCGGGCGUUAAGUUGCAGGGUAUAGACCCGAAACCCGGUGAUCUAGCCAUGGGCAGGUUGAAGGUUGGGUAACACUAACUGGAGGACCGAACCGACUAAUGUUGAAAAAUUAGCGGAUGACCUGUGGCUGGGGGUGAAAGGCCAAUCAAACCGGGAGAUAGCUGGUUCUCCCCGAAAGCUAUUUAGGUAGCGCCUCGUGAAUUCAUCUCCGGGGGUAGAGCACUGUUUCGGCUAGGGGGCCAUCCCGGCUUACCAACCCGAUGCAAACUGCGAAUACCGGAGAAUGUUAUCACGGGAGACACACGGCGGGUGCUAACGUCCGUCGUGAAGAGGGAAACAACCCAGACCGCCAGCUAAGGUCCCAAAGUCAUGGUUAAGUGGGAAACGAUGUGGGAAGGCCCAGACAGCCAGGAUGUUGGCUUAGAAGCAGCCAUCAUUUAAAGAAAGCGUAAUAGCUCACUGGUCGAGUCGGCCUGCGCGGAAGAUGUAACGGGGCUAAACCAUGCACCGAAGCUGCGGCAGCGACACUGUGUGUUGUUGGGUAGGGGAGCGUUCUGUAAGCCUGUGAAGGUGUGUCGUGAGGCAUGCUGGAGGUAUCAGAAGUGCGAAUGCUGACAUAAGUAACGAUAAAGCGGGUGAAAAGCCCGCUCGCCGGAAGACCAAGGGUUCCUGUCCAACGUUAAUCGGGGCAGGGUGAGUCGACCCCUAAGGCGAGGCCGAAAGGCGUAGUCGAUGGGAAACGGGUUAAUAUUCCCGUACUUGGUGUUACUGCGAAGGGGGGACGGAGAAGGCUAUGUUGGCCGGGCGACGGUUGUCCCGGUUUAAGCGUGUAGGUGUGUGUUCCAGGUAAAUCCGGUUCACUUUAACACUGAGGCGUGACGACGAGGCACUACGGUGCUGAAGCAACAAAUGCCCUGCUUCCAGGAAAAGCCUCUAAGCAUCAGGUAACAUCAAAUCGUACCCCAAACCGACACAGGUGGUCAGGUAGAGAAUACCAAGGCGCUUGAGAGAACUCGGGUGAAGGAACUAGGCAAAAUGGUGCCGUAACUUCGGGAGAAGGCACGCUGACACGUAGGUGAAGUGAUUUACUCAUGGAGCUGAAGUCAGUCGAAGAUACCAGCUGGCUGCAACUGUUUAUUAAAAACACAGCACUGUGCAAACACGAAAGUGGACGUAUACGGUGUGACGCCUGCCCGGUGCCGG
rnacentral:rRNA from 2 species